UGGGGGAUAUUGCACAAUGGGCGAAAGCCUGAUGCAGCGACGCCGCGCGGGGGAUGAAGGCCCUCGGGUUGUAAACUCCUUUUGCUCUGAACAAGGCAUGCCUUUGGGGUGUGUUGAGUGUAGGGGUUGAUUAGCGCCGGCUAACUACGUGCCAGCAGCCGCGGUAAUACGUAGGGCGCGAGCGUUGUCCGGAAUUAUUGGGCGUAAAGGGCUUGUAGGUGGCUGGUUGCGUCUGUCGUGAAAGCUCAUGGCUUAACUGUGGGUUUGGGGUGGGUACGAGCUGGCUUGAGUGCAGUAGGGGGGGCUGGAAUUCCUGGUGUAGGGGUGGAAUGCGCAGAUAUCAGAAGGAAUACCGGUGGCGAAGGCGGGUCUCUGGGCUGUUACUGACGCUGAGGAGCGAAAGCGUGGGGAGCGAACAGG
rnacentral:rRNA from 1 species